rnacentral:rRNA from 1 species
AUUGAACGCUGGCGGCAUGCUUUACACAUGCAAGUCGAACGGCAGCACGGGCUUCGGCCUGGUGGCGAGUGGCGAACGGGUGAGUAAUAUAUCGGAACGUACCCAAGAGUGGGGGAUAACGUAGCGAAAGUUACGCUAAUACCGCAUACGAUCUAAGGAUGAAAGCGGGGGAUCGCAAGACCUCGUGCUCCUGGAGCGGCCGAUAUCUGAUUAGCUAGUUGGUGAGGUAAAGGCUCACCAAGGCGACGAUCAGUAGCUGGUCUGAGAGGACGACCAGCCACACUGGAACUGAGACACGGUCCAGACUCCUACGGGAGGCAGCAGUGGGGAAUUUUGGACAAUGGGCGCAAGCCUGAUCCAGCAAUGCCGCGUGAGUGAAGAAGGCCUUCGGGUUGUAAAGCUCUUUUGUCAGGGAAGAAACGGCAGGGGCUAAUAUCCCUUGCUAAUGACGGUACCUGAAGAAUAAGCACCGGCUAACUACGUGCCAGCAGCCGCUGUAACAC